CAGGUCACUCCUACGGGAGGCAGCAGUGGGGAAUAUUGGACAAUGGGCGCAAGCCUGAUCCAGUAAUGCCGCGUGUGUGAAGAAGGCCUUCGGGUUGUAAAGCACUUUUAUCAGGAGCGAAAUACUACUGGCUAAUAACCGGUGGGGCUGACGGUACCUGAGGAAUAAGCACCGGCUAACUUCGUGCCAGCAGCCGCGGUAAUACGAAGGGUGCAAGCGUUAAUCGGAAUUACUGGGCGUAAAGCGUGCGUAGGCGGUGAGUUAAGUCUGUUGUGAAAUCCCCGGGCUCAACCUGGGAAUGGCAAUGGAUACUGGCUCGCUAGAGUGUGAUAGAGGAUGGUGGAAUUCCCGGUGUAGCGGUGAAAUGCGUAGAGAUCGGGAGGAACAUCAGUGGCGAAGGCGGCCAUCUGGAUCAACACUGACGCUGAGGCACGAAAGCGUGGGGAGCAAACAGGAUUAGAUACCCUGGUAGUCCACGCCCUAAACGAUGCGAACUGGAUGUUGGUCUCAACUCGGAGAUCAGUGUCGAAGCUAACGCGUUAAGUUCGCCGCCUGGGGAGUACGGUCGCAAGACUGAAACUCAAAGGAUUGACG
rnacentral:rRNA from 1 species